UGCAAGGUUAAUUCACUGAAGAACUGAGAAGGGGAUCCUUUUUGAGAGAAGCCUGAAGACAUGCCACUUUUUCUGCCUAGAGCCACGCAGGUCCCUUCCGAACCUCCAAGGUGCCACAGCCGCUCUGCAGUUGCUCAGGUGGAGACGAUCCGGCCACGUGGUUGGGGCCCUGAGGGGAGCACUUCCGGUCCGCGCUUGGGCAGCUUCCGGUGUGUGUCCGCCUGACUUCUCCGUGCUUCCCUGCGCGAGGCCGGUCCGAUUCCCCCUUCCCCUGUGCCCGCAGGGAAUGCAAGCCGCGGUCGUGACCCACCGGAACAAGGGCGCGGCCCGCCUGCGCUCGGCCCCGGCGCUCUCCCGCGCCCGGCCGGCCGCCAUGCGCCUACAGUAGCCCCGCGAGAGCCUUCCCUAGCGCGGCUCCGCCGGGUGUGCCGCGGGCCUGCGCGGUUCCCAGGCGUCAGGCUGUGACAAGCACAGCCAGGCAAGCGCACGGGGUCAGCAGCCGCUCAGUCCAUCUUGAAACACCGAGAGGCUGACGUGUGUGGGAGUCCGCGGCUCACCUGAAAGCUGCCCUGGUGCCUUGAAACAGCUGCUGCUUAGCCCCAUGCUAAGGGACGCCUGGUGGCUCAGCGGUUGAGCGCCUGCCUUUGGCUCAGGGUGUGAUCCUGGAGUCCUGGGUUCAAGUCCUACAUCAGGCUCCUUGUAUGGACCCUGCUUGUGUUUCUGCCUCUCUCUCUCUCUGUCUCUCAUGGAUAAACAAAAAUCUUAAAAAGAACCUCCAAGUGACCUUCCGUUCAUCCGAACCAUGUUUGACUAUGGGGUCUUAGAGGAUGUGAGGGUGUAUAGCAGGAGAGAUUUGAUUUCUAAGUUCACUCUCCUAGCAUGGAGCUAAAGAGCAAGUUCCUUUUCACGGUCUUGUUACUUUUCUUACUACUUUUUUUUUUUUU
rnacentral:lncRNA from 1 species